rnacentral:rRNA from 1 species
AGGACGAACGCUGGCGGCGUGCUUAACACAUGCAAGUCGAGCGAGGCCUUCCCUUCGGGGGAGUGCCCUAGCGGCGAACGGGUGAGUAACACGUGGGCAACCUGCCCCUAGCACUGGGAUAACUCCGGGAAACCGGGGCUAAUACCGGAUAUGACCUUUGAGGGCAUCCUCUUUGGUGUAAAGGAUUCUGGCUAGGGAUGGGCCCGCGGCCUAUCAGCUUGUUGGUGGGGUAAUGGCCUACCAAGGCGACGACAGGUAGCCGGCCUGAGAGGGCGACCGGCCACACUGGGACUGAGACACGGCCCAGACUCCUACGGGAGGCAGCAGUGGGGAAUAUUGCACAAUGGGCGAAAGCCUGAUGCAGCGACGCCGCGUGAGGGAUGACGGCCUUCGGGUUGUAAACCUCUUUCAGUACCGACGAAGCGAAAGUGACGGUAGGUACAGAAGAAGCACCGGCCAACUACGCGCCAGCAGCCGC